AUAUAACGUUACAUGUAUACGCACACACCAAUUCAACGUCUUGUUAUUUCGUUUGAAUCUCCGGGAAAAUGUAUUGUACGCCCUCCCCAAAUCGUCAGCCUUGCAGCUCCGUCUAUUGGGCGUUUUGUGCAAAGCGCAAUGAACGCGUAUGACGCUGCUGCUGCGUGCUGGACUGGACCAUCUGUUCGUUAAUUUUUUUCCUUUUUUGUGGGUUUGGUGGCCGUCGGUCGAGAGUGAACGUUUCCCACACAUUGGCGCAAUAAUAAGCACGGCGCCCGAACGCAGGGUUGGAUGAUUUUGUGUUUUUCAACCCCUCAGUCAGUAUAGCGCUGCGUCCUCUUUUCCCCUUGGUGGUGAAGCGCUAAAAGCAACGGGACGGAAUUAUAUUGGCAUUUACUAUUGUUGGCCAAAAAAUUCGAGUGGACGUUUUCAGUUUGGCCUUCGCUGAUAUGACUAUGUCACCUGAAUAACCUUGUCCUGACCGAUUGCGGGUACUAUAACGAAAACUGAACAGAUCACUGGUCACGGAAACGUGUACGUGUCUGCAAGAGAAAUAGAGAAGUGAACAAAAUAAAAUGUGGUCGUCGUGUGAACUUUGGUGUCCUGUUGACUCUGUUGACACUCCAUGCUCUCCACUCCAUGCGCUGUUUCUCAGAUUUCAGGCCUGAGCCAGCCAUCAUAACCACAAGAUGUGCUGCAAGUUUUGAUAUGUCAUCACCAAUAAUCUCAGCAUCAUCAAUUGAAAUCGGAUAAACAACAUCCAGUUUAAUUGGUGAAACUCUGUCCUCGUGUACACCCGUGUGAAGGUGUGUGAAUAUUCACGAUGACCCCCCUCUUCCUAUCCUGACUGGUGGAUUCACUUAAUUUCUGCGUCGGAUAGAGCACAGUUUGUGGAUGCCUGGCUGUGGAUGUUCCGGGCUUAUGAAGGUAGGACAAAAUUGAUCCCUAUUCUUCCUUUUCGACAAUU